rnacentral:rRNA from 1 species
AACGAACGCUGGCGGCAUGCCUAACACAUGCAAGUCGAACGAAGUCUUCGGACUUAGUGGCGCACGGGUGCGUAACGCGUGGGAAUCUGCCCUUGGGUACGGAAUAACUCAGAGAAAUUUGUGCUCAUACCGUAUAAUGUCUUCGGACCAAAGAUUUAUCGCCCAAGGAUGAGCCCGCGUAAGAUUAGCUAGUUGGUGGGGUAAAAGCCUACCAAGGCGACGAUCUUUAGCUGGUCUGAGAGGAUGAUCAGCCACACUGGGACUGAGACACGGCCCAGACUCCUACGGGAGGCAGCAGUGGGGAAUAUUGGACAAUGGGCGAAAGCCUGAUCCAGCAAUGCCGCGUGAGUGAUGAAGGCCCUAGGGUUGUAAAGCUCUUUUACCAGGGAUGAUAAUGACAGUACCUGGAGAAUAAGCUCCGGCUAACUCCGUG